UACGGAGGGUGCAAGCGUUGCUCGGAAUUAUUGGGCGUAAAGCGCGUGUAGGCGGUUACCUAAGUCUGAUGUGAAAGCCCGGGGCUUAACCCCGGAACUGCAUUGGAUACUGGGUGACUAGAGGACGAGAGAGGGUGGUGGAAUUCCUGGUGUAGGGGUGAAAUCCGUAGAUAUCAGGAGGAACAUCAGUGGCGAAGGCGGCCACCUGGCUCGUAUCUGACGCUGAGACGCGAAAGCGUGGGGAGCAAACAGG
rnacentral:rRNA from 1 species